CGGGACGGGUGAGUAACGCGUGGGUAACCUGCCUCAUACAGGGGGAUAGCAGCUGGAAACGGCUGGUAAUACCGCAUAAGCGCACAGUACCACAUGGUACAGUGUGAAAAACUCCGGUGGUAUGAGAUGGACCCGCGUCUGAUUAGCUGGUUGGCGGGGUAACGGCCCACCAAGGCGACGAUCAGUAGCCGACCUGAGAGGGUGACCGGCCACAUUGGGACUGAGACACGGCCCAG
rnacentral:rRNA from 1 species